CCUACGGGAGGCAGCAGUGAGGAAUAUUGGUCAAUGGACGAGAGUCUGAACCAGCCAAGUAGCGUGAAGGAUGACUGCCCUAUGGGUUGUAAACUUCUUUUAUAUGGGAAUAAAAUGUUCCACGUGUGGGAUUUUGUAUGUACCAUAUGAAUAAGGAUCGGCUAACUCCGUGCCAGCAGCCGCGGUAAUACGGAGGAUCCGAGCGUUAUCCGGAUUUAUUGGGUUUAAAGGGAGCGUAGGUGGAUUGUUAAGUCAGUUGUGAAAGUUUGCGGCUCAACCGUAAAAUUGCAGUUGAAACUGGCAGUCUUGAGUACAGUAGAGGUGGGCGGAAUUCGUGGUGUAGCGGUGAAAUGCUUAGAUAUCACGAAGAACGCCGAUUGCGAAGGCAGUUCACUGGACUGCAACUGACACUGAGGCUCGAAAGUGUGGGUAUCAAACAGGAUUAGAUACCCCAGUAGUC
rnacentral:rRNA from 1 species